UUAUCACGUUUAUCACAGCUUUUAGGUGAUAUCGGCAUUCGAAUGGCUGAAUAGUUCAUUCGAAAAAGAAAAAAAGAAUGGCUGAAUAGUUGGGUUCCCAGUUUUUUGGGGUCUGUCAUUCUUUUAUUUGAAUGAACUUCAUGUAGAAAGUGUGCAAUGCUAGACAUUGAAUGGCUUGAGGUUCUGUGACACGAAUAUUCGACUACUUGGUGUCGUUCAGACUUUAGACAUCACCUGCCAAGGUUUGCCAUUGUCACAGCUGACAUGAUCCCGUUUCCUCCUCAUUCACAGCUGACAUAUGUAACUAGCACUGGAAGUUUGCAAGGGCAUGCAGAUAGUUUGCCAGCUGCAUCAGUCAGACAAUUUAGUUCAGCACCAUCUCCUCAAUCUGACUCAACUGAAGAAAAUGGGUUCAAGCAGUGGUCAAGUAUGACAUCCUUUUCAUAGCAGAUGAGGUCAUUACUGCAUUUGGAAGGUUGGGAACUAUGUUUGGAUGUGAUACGUUUAACAUCAAGCCGGAUCUAGUUUCAUUGGCCAAGGCCAUGUCAGAGCUAAAAAAAAUAGAUUUGCACUAAUGCAAAAUGAAGAUGAAUUACAAAUCUUGUUUGAUGGUGCUUGAAUGGCUUAGGAGGAUAUGGGAGGAGAGGGAAGCGUUAGACCUCAUGUGAUGUAUUGCAUGCUUGUAUGUGUUUAGAAUUUGUUUAGUAUUGAACCAUUUAUCUUUGUUCAUUUGUUGUAUUGCAUGGAAACUAUUUUUAUUCAGUGCACAUGAGCUGUAUUGUUUUAUCUUAAUUCAUGUGGUCAAG